AUGCUCGCUUCGGCAGCACAUACACUAAAAUUGGAAUGAUACAGAGAUUAGCAUGGCCCCUGCGCAAGGGUGACAUGCAAAUUCGUGAAGCGGCC
rnacentral:snRNA from 1 species